AGUGAACGCUGGCGGUAGGCCUAACACAUGCAAGUCGAACGGCAGCACAGUAAGAGCUUGCUCUUACGGGUGGCGAGUGGCGGACGGGUGAGGAAUACAUCGGAAUCUACUUUUUCGUGGGGGAUAACGUAGGGAAACUUACGCUAAUACCGCAUACGACCUACGGGUGAAAGCAGGGGAUCUUCGGACCUUGCGCGAUUGAAUGAGCCGAUGUCAGAUUAGCUAGUUGGCGGGGUAAAGGCCCACCAAGGCGACGAUCCGUAGCUGGUCUGAGAGGAUGAUCAGCCACACUGGAACUGAGACACGGUCCAGACUCCUACGGGAGGCAGCAGUGGGGAAUAUUGGACAAUGGGCGCAAGCCUGAUCCAGCCAUACCGCGUGGGUGAAGAAGGCCUUCGGGUUGUAAAGCCCUUUUGUUGGGAAAGAAAAGCGGCAGGUUAAUACCCCGCUGUUCUGACGGUACCCAAAGAAUAAGCACCGGCUAACUUCGUG
rnacentral:rRNA from 1 species